rnacentral:rRNA from 1 species
AGCAGCCGCGGUAAUUCCAGCUCCAAUAGCGUAUAUUAAAGUUGUUGCAGUUAAAAAGCUCGUAGUUGAAUUUCGGGAUCAAUAUGCCGGUCAUGCCUUGGUAUGCACUGGUAUCUUUGAUUUCUCCCUUCUGACGAACUUUGAUGUCAUUAAUUUGGUGUCAUAGGGAAUAAGGACUGUUACUUUGAAAAAAUUGAGUGUUUAAAGCAGGCUCACGCUUAGAAUACAUUAGCAUGGAAUAAAUGAAAUGGACGUUUGAUUCUAUUUUGUGGUUUCUAGGAUCGACGUAAUGAUUAAUAGGGAUAGUUGGGGCAUUAGUAUUC